rnacentral:rRNA from 1 species
UGUAUAAUGGGUCAGCGACUUAUAUUCUGUAGCAAGGUUAACCGAAUAGGGGAGCCGAAGGGAAACCGAGUCUUAACUGGGCGUUAAGUUGCAGGGUAUAGACCCGAAACCCGGUGAUCUAGCCAUGGGCAGGUUGAAGGUUGGGUAACACUAACUGGAGGACCGAACCGACUAAUGUUGAAAAAUUAGCGGAUGACUUGUGGCUGGGGGUGAAAGGCCAAUCAAACCGGGAGAUAGCUGGUUCUCCCCGAAAGCUAUUUAGGUAGCGCCUCGUGAAUUCAUCUCCGGGGGUAGAGCACUGUUUCGGCAAGGGGGUCAUCCCGACUUACCAACCCGAUGCAAACUGCGAAUACCGGAGAAUGUUAUCACGGGAGACACACGGCGGGUGCUAACGUCCGUCGUGAAGAGGGAAACAACCCAGACCGCCAGCUAAGGUCCCAAAGUCAUGGUUAAGUGGGAAACGAUGUGGGAAGGCCCAGACAGCCAGGAUGUUGGCUUAGAAGCAGCCAUCAUUUAAAGAAAGCGUAAUAGCUCACUGGUCGAGUCGGCCUGCGCGGAAGAUGUAACGGGGCUAAACCAUGCACCGAAGCUGCGGCAGCGACACUAUGUGUUGUUGGGUAGGGGAGCGUUCUGUAAGCCUGUGAAGGUGUGCUGUGAGGUAUGCUGGAGGUAUCAGAAGUGCGAAUGCUGACAUAAGUAACGAUAAAGCGGGUGAAAAGCCCGCUCGCCGGAAGACCAAGGGUUCCUGUCCAACGUUAAUCGGGGCAGGGUGAGUCGACCCCUAAGGCGAGGCCGAAAGGCGUAGUCGAUGGGAAACAGGUUAAUAUUCCUGUACUUGGUGUUACUGCGAAGGGGGGACGGAGAAGGCUAUGUUGGCCGGGCGACGGUUGUCCCGGUUUAAGCGUGUAGGCUGGUUUUCCAGGCAAAUCCGGAAAAUCAAGGCUGAGGCGUGAUGACGAGGCACUACGGUGCUGAAGCGACAAAUGCCCUGCUUCCAGGAAAAGCCUCUAAGCAUCAGGUAACAUUAAAUCGUACCCCAAACCGACACAGGUGGUCAGGUAGAGAAUACCAAGGCGCUUGAGAGAACUCGGGUGAAGGAACUAGGCAAAAUGGUGCCGUAACUUCGGGAGAAGGCACGCUGAUAUGUAGGUGAAGCGACUUGCUCGUGGAGCUGAAAUCAGUCGAAGAUACCAGCUGGCUGCAACUGUUUAUUAAAAACACAGCACUGUGCAAACACGAAAGUGGACGUAUACGGUGUGACGCCUGCCCGGUGCCGGAAGGUUAAUUGAUGGGGUUAGCGGCAACGCGAAGCUCUUGAUCGAAGCCCCGGUAAACGGCGGCCGUAACUAUAACGGUCCUAAGGUAGCGAAAUUCCUUGUCGGGUAAGUUCCGACCUGCACGAAUGGCGUAAUGAUGGCCAGGCUGUCUCCACCCGAGACUCAGUGAAAUUGAACUCGCUGUGAAGAUGCAGUGUACCCGCGGCAAGACGGAAAGACCCCGUGAACCUUUACUAUAGCUUGACACUGAACAUUGAGCCUUGAUGUGUAGGAUAGGUGGGAGGCUUUGAAGUGUGGACGCCAGUCUGCAUGGAGCCGACCUUGAAAUACCACCCUUUAAUGUUUGAUGUUCUAACGUGGGCCCGUAAUC